rnacentral:rRNA from 1 species
AGUGAACGCUGGCGGUAGGCCUAACACAUGCAAGUCGAACGGCAGCACAGUAAGAGCUUGCUCUUACGGGUGGCGAGUGGCGGACGGGUGAGGAAUACAUCGGAAUCUACUUUUUCGUGGGGGAUAACGUAGGGAAACUUACGCUAAUACCGCAUACGACCUACGGGUGAAAGCAGGGGAUCUUCGGACCUUGCGCGAUUGAAUGAGCCGAUGUCGGAUUAGCUAGUUGGCGGGGUAAAGGCCCACCAAGGCGACGAUCCGUAGCUGGUCUGAGAGGAUGAUCAGUCACACUGGAACUGAGACACGGUCCAGACUCCUACGGGAGGCAGCAGUGGGGACUAUUGGACAAUGGGCGCAAGCCUGAUCCAGCCAUACCGCGUGGGUGAAGAAGGCCUUCGGGUUGUAAAGCCCUUUUGUUGGGAAAGAAAAGCAGCAGGUUAAUACCCUGCUGUUCUGACGGUACCCAAAGAAUAAGCACCGGCUAACUUCGUG